GCCCGCAUAGCUCAGUCGGUAGAGCAUCAGACUUUUUAUCUGAGGGUCGCGGGUUCGAGUCCCUCUGCCUGCG
rnacentral:tRNA from 1 species